rnacentral:lncRNA from 1 species
GAAGUCUGAAAAUCUGCAGUCAGCAAGCUGAAAAUGUAGGAGACAUGGUGAUAUAAAUUCCAGCCUGAGUAAAAAAGCAUCACUCAUGCAAUUUAUCAACCAAACCAGAAUACUUUUGAGAAUCCAAAGAGGAGCUCUUAGAAAUUGUACCGGCACAAUGUUCAUAAACCAGAUCUGCCCUGGGAAAAUAGGACAUAUGGUCACUCUACCCUUGGAUUCAAACUCAGUGGAUCUGGGUGGGGACUGAACCUUUGCAAUUCUAUCAAGUUCCCAGAUGAUGCUGAGGCUGAUGUUGCUGGUCCAUGGACCCCCAUUUUGAGAGAGGUCUCACCAUGAACCUGGCGAUGGAUGAGAAGAUAUUUCUUUCCCCCCAUACCAGCCCUCACCACCAACUGACUGCAAAAACUUGAGAGACCGAGUGAGAAUUGCCCAGCUCAGCCCAGUUAGCUCCUAGAACCAUGAGAGAUAAAAAUAAA